rnacentral:lncRNA from 1 species
AUGUGCAGAAGUUUGGGGUUCCGUGCAUGUAGGUUGCAUGGCAGAAGAGAUAAGGACCAGCAGAUAAAGUCCAAAACGUCAGUGCAGAUGGGGUUUCAACCUGUCCUCCAUUUGAGGGGGACUUAUCGAGAACUGGGAGGAGUAGAGAAGGCAGCUGGCUUUCCAGAUAACGUACUUAACCUUAUAGGACCUUUCAAAAAUUAUAGCAAGUAUACCGAGGAGAAAUCCUGGAAUCUCCCCUACCCUUUCCCUGGGAAUGGGGAAAGGGAUCUGCAGAAAAAAAACCACUCCUACCAAGAAUGCUUUGGUAAUGUUUGAUUUGUUACAUUUUUCCCUCUGUGUACACUUUGAAUCACUGGAUUUUUUUUUAAUUUGC